UAUACAUGCAGUCGAACGAACUUCCGUUAAUUGAUUAUGACGUACUUGUACUGAUUGAGAUUUUAACACGAAGUGAGUGGCGAACGGGUGAGUAACACGUGGGUAACCUGCCCAGAAGUAGGGGAUAACACCUGGAAACAGAUGCUAAUACCGUAUAACAGAGAAAACCGCAUGGUUUUCUUUUAAAAGAUGGCUCUGCUAUCACUUCUGGAUGGACCCGCGGCGUAUUACCUAGUUGGUGAGGUAAAGGCUCCCCAAGGCAGUGAUACUUACCCGACCUGAGAGGGUAAUCGGCCACUUUGGGACUGAAACAACGCCCAAACUCCUUCCGGAGGCAGCAGUAGGGAAUCUUCCACAAUGGACGCCGUCNGUUGGAACACCCCCCCGUGAGUGAAAAAGGGUUUCGGCCCCUAAACCUCUUUUUUUAAAAAAAAACGUGGNUAAGAGUACCUGUUACCCCGGACGUUUUUUAACCAAAAANCACGGUUAAUUCUUGCCCCCCCCCCGGAANCGUGGGGGNGGGGUUUCCCGUUUUUUUUGGGGCAUAAAGCGAGCGCAGGGGGGCUUUUUUUAUUUUUUAUGGAAAAACCUUCCCCCCCCCCCCCAAAAAAAUUGCU
rnacentral:rRNA from 1 species